rnacentral:sRNA from 1 species
UUUCCGUGCGGUGCGGCGAGUGAGGCCCCGUCCUCCUCCUCGUCUUGCCGCAGGGCCAGAACCCCUGACGGUAUUCAGCGGCGCUUAAGUCUGGCCGGUGUCAUCUGUCUCCGCAAUGCCCCCCAAGAAACAGGCUCAGGCCGGGGGCAGCAAAAAGGCGGAGCAAAAAAAGAAGGAGAAGAUUAUCGAAAUAUUUCUGUGCUCUUUCUCAUGUAGGACAAAACUUUUGGUUUGAAGAAUAAGAAAGGAGCAAAGCAACAGAAGUUUAUCAAGGCUGUCACACAUCAAGUUAAAUUUGGUCAA